rnacentral:rRNA from 1 species
UUAAGCGACUAAGCGUACACGGUGGAUGCCCUGGCAGUCAGAGGCGAUGAAGGACGUGCUAAUCUGCGAUAAGCGUCGGUAAGGUGAUAUGAACCGUUAUAACCGGCGAUUUCCGAAUGGGGAAACCCAGUGUGUUUCGACACACUAUCAUUAACUGAAUCCAUAGGUUAAUGAGGCGAACCGGGGGAACUGAAACAUCUAAGUACCCCGAGGAAAAGAAAUCAACCGAGAUUCCCCCAGUAGCGGCGAGCGAACGGGGAGGAGCCCAGAGCCUGAAUCAGUGUGUGUGUUAGUGGAAGCGUCUGGAAAGGCGCGCGAUACAGGGUGACAGCCCCGUACACAAAAAUGCACAUACUGUGAGCUCGAUGAGUAGGGCGGGACACGUGGUAUCCUGUCUGAAUAUGGGGGGACCAUCCUCCAAGGCUAAAUACUCCUGACUGACCGAUAGUGAACCAGUACCGUGAGGGAAAGGCGAAAAGAACCCCGGCGAGGGGAGUGAAAAAGAACCUGAAACCGUGUACGUACAAGCAGUGGGAGCACAGAGCAAUCUGUGUGACUGCGUACCUUUUGUAUAAUGGGUCAGCGACUUAUAUUCUGUAGCAAGGUUAACCGAAUAGGGGAGCCGAAGGGAAACCGAGUCUUAACUGGGCGUUAAGUUGCAGGGUAUAGACCCGAAACCCGGUGAUCUAGCCAUGGGCAGGUUGAAGGUUGGGUAACACUAACUGGAGGACCGAACCGACUAAUGUUGAAAAAUUAGCGGAUGACUUGUGGCUGGGGGUGAAAGGCCAAUCAAACCGGGAGAUAGCUGGUUCUCCCGAAAGCUAUUUAGGUAGCGCCUCGUGAAUUCAUCUCCGGGGGUAGAGCACUGUUUCGGCAAGGGGGUCAUCCCGACUUACCAACCCGAUGCAAACUGCGAAUACCGGAGAAUGUUAUCACGGGAGACACACGGCGGGUGCUAACGUCCGUCGUGAAGAGGGAAACAACCCAGACCGCCAGCUAAGGUCCCAAAGUCAUGGUUAAGUGGGAAACGAUGUGGGAAGGCCCAGACAGCCAGGAUGUUGGCUUAGAAGCAGCCAUCAUUUAAAGAAAGCGUAAUAGCUCACUGGUCGAGUCGGCCUGCGCGGAAGAUGUAACGGGGCUAAACCAUGCACCGAAGCUGCGGCAGCGACGCUGAUGCGUUGUUGGGUAGGGGAGCGUUCUGUAAGCCUGCGAAGGUGUGCUGUGAGGCAUGCUGGAGGUAUCAGAAGUGCGAAUGCUGACAUAAGUAACGAUAAAGCGGGUGAAAAGCCCGCUCGCCGGAAGACCAAGGGUUCCUGUCCAACGUUAAUCGGGGCAGGGUGAGUCGACCCCUAAGGCGAGGCCGAAAGGCGUAGUCGAUGGGAAACAGGUUAAUAUUCCUGUACUUGGUGUUACUGCGAAGGGGGGACGGAGAAGGCUAUGUUGGCCGGGCGACGGUUGUCCCGGUUUAAGCGUGUAGGCUGGUUUUCCAGGCAAAUCCGGAAAACUAAGGCUGAGGCGUGAUGACGAGGCACUACGGUGCUGAAGCAACAAAUGCCCUGCUUCCAGGAAAAGCCUCUAAGCAUCAGGUAACAUCAAAUCGUACCCCAAACCGACACAGGUGGUCAGGUAGAGAAUACCAAGGCGCUUGAGAGAACUCGGGUGAAGGAACUAGGCAAAAUGGUGCCGUAACUUCGGGAGAAGGCACGCUGAUAUGUAGGUGAAGUCCCUCGCGGAUGGAGCUGAAAUCAGUCGAAGAUACCAGCUGGCUGCAACUGUUUAUUAAAAACACAGCACUGUGCAAACACGAAAGUGGACGUAUACGGUGUGACGCCUGCCCGGUGCCGGAAGGUUAAUUGAUGGGGUUAGCGCAAGCGAAGCUCUUGAUCGAAGCCCCGGUAAACGGCGGCCGUAACUAUAACGGUCCUAAGGUAGCGAAAUUCCUUGUCGGGUAAGUUCCGACCUGCACGAAUGGCGUAAUGAUGGCCAGGCUGUCUCCACCCGAGACUCAGUGAAAUUGAACUCGCUGUGAAGAUGCAGUGUACCCGCGGCAAGACGGAAAGACCCCGUGAACCUUUACUAUAGCUUGACACUGAACAUUGAGCCUUGAUGUGUAGGAUAGGUGGGAGGCUUUGAAGUGUGGACGCCAGUCUGCAUGGAGCCGACCUUGAAAUACCACCCUUUAAUGUUUGAUGUUCUAACGUGGACCCGUAAUCCGGGUUGCGGACAGUGUCUGGUGGGUAGUUUGACUGGGGCGGUCUCCUCCUAAAGAGUAACGGAGGAGCACGAAGGUUGGCUAAUCCUGGUCGGACAUCAGGAGGUUAGUGCAAUGGCAUAAGCCAGCUUGACUGCGAGCGUGACGGCGCGAGCAGGUGCGAAAGCAGGUCAUAGUGAUCCGGUGGUUCUGAAUGGAAGGGCCAUCGCUCAACGGAUAAAAGGUACUCCGGGGAUAACAGGCUGAUACCGCCCAAGAGUUCAUAUCGACGGCGGUGUUUGGCACCUCGAUGUCGGCUCAUCACAUCCUGGGGCUGAAGUAGGUCCCAAGGGUAUGGCUGUUCGCCAUUUAAAGUGGUACGCGAGCUGGGUUUAGAACGUCGUGAGACAGUUCGGUCCCUAUCUGCCGUGGGCGCUGGAGAACUGAGGGGCUGCUCCUAGUACGAGAGGACCGGAGUGGACGCAUCACUGGUGUUCGGGUUGUCAUGCCAAUGGCACUGCCCGGUAGCUAAAUGCGGAAGAGAUAAGUGCUGAAAGCAUCUAAGCACGAAACUUGCCCCGAGAUGAGUUCUCCCUGACUCCUUGAGAGUCCUGAAGGAACGUUGAAGACGACGACGUUGAUAGGCCGGGUGUGUAAGCGCAGCGAUGCGUUGAAGCUAACCGGUACUAAUGAACCGUGAGGCUUAACCU